AUACAGGUGAUAAGCUUCUAAAAUAUUUUGCUUAAUUGCUUUAUGGGCCCCACACAUGUGGGCUCCACAUAUUUAUUCUUUACCACAGAAAACUGGAAAAAAAUUAUCAAAUUGUUGCGUGGGAUCUUGACUUGGAACAGAGCCCAAAGUCCCCACCACCCAUGCCAAUUUAUUAAAUUCUUUAUUAUCCUCAUUUAUAUUAUUUUAUUUGUUUUUUGAGGCAGAAAUCGGGUCUCACUUCAUGUUUGAUUUUUCCAAAGCGCAUCUGUGCAUAGUCUCCACUUGGACCAAAAACAGGCAUCCAGACUGGGAAGAGAACAAACAGAAGCCUCUUUCGGUUCCAUGACAUCAGAGCUUACACAAGAACCCAACCAUUAUUUCAUUUCAUACAAGAACCCUUUCUUUUUCUCUGGACACACUUUUUCCCCAUAUUUUUCCUAAUUUCACAACGGUGAUGGUUUCUUAAAACUUUUUCUUCUCUCAAGUGCUAUAAAAUUUAUAUAAAAUGAAACUAAAUAGUGUUUUGAUUCUUUUGAAAGAAAAUUGAAAGUCAUAAUGUUGCCAAAUAACACAACUACUACGAAUCUACCCCAGUGAAGAAGAGCAUAGACUUGGUAACUUGUAUUGUGAUGAGCAAAAUAUUUC
rnacentral:lncRNA from 1 species